rnacentral:lncRNA from 10 species
CUUUGUAGCGGACGCCCCUCGACCCACCCACCCGAUCCCGGCCGCACCCUGCUCUGCACCCGCACCCCACCCCCAGACCUCACCCUGCCCUGCCGUGCGCUCAACAGCCAGAUGCUGGGCCCAGACAAGCGCUCUUCCGCUAGUGUGCCGGGAUGAGCGGGGGCUGGACUUCUAGAAAGGGGUCUGCGGGCGCAGGAGCUGGGGUCCGCGGUCUGGGGCCGGGGGUCGGUGGAGCCGGGAUGUCAAGUUCACCUUCCAGCCGCCGCGGGCUCCCUCGGCCUGGGGCGCCUCUAAUGGACCCCGGGGUCGGCCUGAGCCCUCCCGGAGCGCCCGGCGGCUGGUUUCCAUUAGGGCAGUUCCGGCGCCGACUUCGCUGGGGACGGGGAAGGUGACCCCCCUACUCGGAUCCCCCAGGUCCUAAAGGCUGAUCACCAGUUCCUCUUAGGAACCGGUGAACCUCAGGGGGCCCAUUGCACAUCCAGGUGUGAAACUGCGGUGUGGCCUCCAGGCAACACAAGCCAUCAGCCCCAUGCUCAGCUCCCAGCAGGCAGAGCGUUCAGAAGCGCCAGCGCCAUCAUCUUGGGAGCCUGCAGUCCACACACCGCUGACCUUACCUACUUCCUCUUUCCAGGUUGAUAGAUUUUUUGUUCUUGGCUUCUCCACCUCCCCCACCCCUCCUUCUCCGGUUUGGCACAAAGUGGCCCCCUGGUGGGGAUGAGCCAGCCAUCUCUGGGGGUUGAGUCUGGACUGUAGAGCUGUGGGUGCAGAUGUCCUCAGCCAGCCUGUCUUCCCUUUUCUCUUGCAGGUCGUAGAUUACAGACUCUCCUCUGGGAAAUUGCCCCCAGAUCUAACAGGAGUACAAGAAGCUGGGUAGAUUGGAAAACAGCACCGAAUUCCCCUGGAACUGAGGUCUCCCCUAAUUCCCCUGAAACUGGGGUCUCACGGAAGCCUUCCCAGUCCUGCAGCCACCUGCAGACUCUCACAAGCACGGUGCUCCCGGGAGAAGACCUUGCUACCCCAGGCCCAAGGCAGUCGAGAGAAAACGGGAAGCCCUGAAGGUUUUUCACCCCGGGGGUGAGAGUGUAUGAUCGAAGAUAUAUUUGAGGGUAAUUGUACAGAUAGUCCCAACUUAGCAUUGUUCAACUUUAUGAUGGUAUGAAAGUGAUGACAUUCAGUAGAAAUUGUACUUCAAGUGCCAAUACAAUCAGUUUUUCACUUUUGGUGCAGUAUUCAAUAAAUUACAUGAGAUAUUCAACACUUUACUUUAAAAUAAGGCAGCCAGAGGAGGGCACAGUGUGGAAGAACUCAACUUUUUAAAGACAGAGAUCAGCUUUAAAUAUUGCUAAGAAAGAACCGUGAGCCACCGGCCCAGCCAAAGCUGUUUUUAAAAA